UUCUGUGUAUCAUGAACUGUCUGUAUUGUUUCACCCAAACCAUAUAAAAGUAUAAAAGCCUUCACAAUAUGUAUGGUUUUCAUUUUACUAUGGAAAGACAUGUGGCUUGUUAAGUUGUAUGCUUGUAAUGUUCUGAAGUACAUGUACGAAACAUCAAUGUAUGGCUACAAAUUUGUUAGAGCGAGAAGAACAAAAGCUGGCCUGGAUGGUGCAUUUGAUUCAAUCAUGUCUAUAACCUGCAUUAACUGAUUUUAUUGAGGUGCAAAUGCUUGUUUGCUAAAUGCAUUCCUAAUAGACGAGAUGUAUUGUAGCUAGUCUGUUACCUCAAACAACUGUUUGUAUGUGUUUAGGCUUCAUUAACUCCUGACUGAACAAAUAUCUGUUAUGUAAGUGCGAUUGUAGUUUAUGUAUACGUUAAGACCCUUUUACUAACAGAAUUAUCAGGGAUGGAUCAAGAGAUUAAUACAUAUUUUACACUGUGCACACUUAAAUCAAUUAAUGUAUUAUAGGACGUUGACUGUGUAAUAUCAGUUUGUACCAGAUGUAGACAGGACAAUGUACAGCAAGCAGUCAUUAGCUGCAAUGCAACCACAGCCAUCAUCCCUAGUUAAAGGUUAAAGCAAGGAGUACAGUGUAUCAAGACACAGUCACCUACCAGUUUGGUAACUGCAUCAUCCUACAGCCAUUAUCCCUAAAUAGUUAAAGGUACAGUAUAUCCAAAUGGUGCAGUCAUCUACCCGUUUGGUAACUGCAUCAUCCUACAGCCAUUAUCCCUAAAUAGUUAAAGGCACAGUAUAUCCAAAUGGUGCAGUCAUCUACCCGUUUGGUAACUGCAUCAUCCUACAGCCAUUAUCCCUAAAUAGUUAAAGGUACAGUAUAUCCAAAUGGUGCAGUCAUCUACCCAUUCUGUAACUGCAUCAUCCUACAGCCAUCAU